GACAGAGGGUGCAAACGUUGUUCGGAAUUACUGGGCGUAAAGCGUGUGUAGGCGGUCCUCUAAGUCGGGUGUGAAAGCCCUGGGCUCAACCCAGGAAGUGCACUCGAAACUGGAGGGCUAGAGUAUCGGAGAGGUUGGUGGAAUUCUCGGUGUAGAGGUGAAAUUCGUAGAUAUCGAGAGGAACACCGGUGGCGAAGGCGGCGACCUGGGUAGAUACUGACGCUGAGGUGCGAAAGCGUGGGGAGCAAACAGG
rnacentral:rRNA from 1 species